rnacentral:rRNA from 1 species
UACGUAGGGUGCAAGCGUUGUCCGGAAUUAUUGGGCGUAAAGAGCUCGUAGGCGGUUUGUCGCGUCUGCUGUGAAAACUCGGGGCUCAACUCCGAGCUUGCAGUGGGUACGGGCAGACUAGAGUGCGGUAGGGGAGACUGGAAUUCCUGGUGUAGCGGUGGAAUGCGCAGAUAUCAGGAGGAACACCGGUGGCGAAGGUGGGUCUCUGGGCCGUAACUGACGCUGAGGAGCGAAAGCAUGGGGAGCGAACAGG